rnacentral:rRNA from 1 species
GGGUUUAGUGGCGGACGGGUGAAGUAACGCGUGAGAAUCUCCCUUCAGGAUGGGGACAACCGUUGGAAACGACGGCUAAUCCCCAAUGUGCCGAGAGGUGAAAGGGUUUCCGCCUGAAGAAGAGCUCGCGUCCGAUUAGUUAGUUGGUGAGGUAAGAGCUCACCAAGGCAGCGAUCGGUAGCUGGUCUGAGAGGAUGAGCAGCCACACUGGGACUGAGACACGGCCCAGACUCCUACGGGAGGCAGCAGUGGGGAAUUUUCCGCAAUGGGCGAAAGCCUGACGGAGCAACGCCGCGUGUGGGAAGAAGGCUCUUGGGCUGUCAACCACUUUUCUCAGGGAAGAAGACCUGACGGUACCUGAGGAAUCAGCCUCGGCUAACUCCGUGCCAGCAGCCGCGGUAAUACGGAGGAGGCAAGCGUUAUCCGGAAUUAUUGGGCGUAAAGCGUCCGCAGGGGGCGCAUCAAGUCUGCUGUUAAAGGCUGGAGCUUAACUCCGGUAGAGCAGUGGAAACUGGUGCGCUAGAGGGCGACAGGGGCAGAGGGAAUUCCCAGUGUAGCGGUGAAAUGCGUAGAGAUUGGGAAGAACACCGGUGGCGAAAGCGCUCUACUGGGUCGCACCUGACCCUCANGGACGAAAGCUAAGGUAGCGAAAGGGAUUAGAUACCCCUGUAGUCUUAGCCGUAAACGAUGGAUACUAGGCGUGGCUUGUAUCGACCCAAGCCGUGCCGAAGCUAACGCGUUAAGUAUCC